rnacentral:rRNA from 1 species
GACGGAGGAUGCAAGCGUUAUCCGGAAUUAUUGGGCGUAAAGCGUCCGCAGGUGGCUGUUCAAGUCUGCUGUCAAAGCGCAGAGCUUAACUCUGUACAGGCGGUGGAAACUGAAGAGCUAGAGUAUGGUAGGGGUAGAGGGAAUUCCCGGUGUAGCGGUGAAAUGCGUAGAGAUCAGGAAGAACACCGGUGGCGAAAGCGCUCUGCUGGACCUUAACUGACACUGAGGGACGAAAGCUAGGGGAGCGAAUGGG